CUACGGGCGGCUCCAGUGAGGAAUAUUGCACAAUGGGGGGAACCCUGAUGCAGCAACGCCGCGUGGAGGAUGACGCAUUUCGGUGUGUAAACUCCUUUUAUAUGUCAAGAAAAUGACGGUAGCAUAUGAAUAAGCACCGGCUAACUCCGUGCCAGCAGCCGCGGUAAUACGGAGGGUGCAAGCGUUACUCGGAAUCACUGGGCGUAAAGGACGCGUAGGCGGGUUGGAAAGUCAGGUGUGAAAUCCUGCAGCUUAACUGUAGAACUGCACUUGAAACUUCUAAUCUAGAGUAUGGGAGGGGGAGAUGGAAUUAGUGGUGUAGGGGUAAAAACCGUAGAUAUCACUAGGAAUACCUAAAGCGAAGGCGAUCUCCUGGAACAUUACUGACGCUAAGGCGUGAAAGCGUGGGGAGCAAACAGGAUUAGAUACCCCCGUAGUC
rnacentral:rRNA from 1 species